AAAUUGAAGAGUUUGAUCAUGGCUCAGAUUGAACGCUGGCGGCAGGCCUAACACAUGCAAGUCGAACGGUAGCACAGAGAGCUUGCUCUCGGGUGACGAGUGGCGGACGGGUGAGUAAUGUCUGGGAAACUGCCCGAUGGAGGGGGAUAACUACUGGAAACGGUAGCUAAUACCGCAUAACGUCGCAAGACCAAAGAGGGGGACCUUCGGGCCUCUUGCCAUCGGAUGUGCCCAGAUGGGAUUAGCUUGUAGGUGAGGUAACGGCUCACCUAGGCGACGAUCCCUAGCUGGUCUGAGAGGAUGACCAGCCACACUGGAACUGAGACACGGUCCAGACUCCUACGGGAGGCAGCAGUGGGGAAUAUUGCACAAUGGGCGCAAGCCUGAUGCAGCCAUGCCGCGUGUAUGAAGAAGGCCUUCGGGUUGUAAAGU
rnacentral:rRNA from 1 species